rnacentral:rRNA from 1 species
AAAGAGUCCCUCCCGACUGUUUACCAAAAACACAGCACUUUGCCAACUCGUAAGAGGAAGUAUAAGGUGUGACGCCUGCCCGGUGCUCGAAGGUUAAGAGGAUGCGUCAGUCGCAAGAUGAAGCGUUGAAUUGAAGCCCGAGUAAACGGCGGCCGUAACUAUAACGGUCCUAAGGUAGCGAAAUUCCUUGUCGGUUAAAUACCGACCUGCAUGAAUGGCGUAACGAGAUGGGAGCUGUCUCAACCAGAGAUUCAGUGAAAUUGUAGUGGAGGUGAAAAUUCCUCCUACCCGCGGCAAGACGGAGAGACCCCGUGGACCUUUACUACAACUUAGCACUGCUAAUGGGAAUAUCAUGCGCAGGAUAGGUGGGAGGCUUUGAAGUAAGGGCUUUGGCUCUUAUGGAGCCAUCCUUGAGAUACCACCCUUGAUGUUUCUGUUAGCUAACUGGCCUGUGUUAUCCACAGGCAGGACAAUGCUUGGUGGGUAGUUUGACUGGGGCGGUC